CUGGGAAACUGCCUGAUGGAGGGGGAUAACUCCUGGAAACGGUAGCUAAUACCGCAUAACGUCGCAAGACCAAAGAGGGGGACCUUCGGGCCUCUUGCCAUCGGAUGUGCCCAGAUGGGAUUAGCUUGUUGGUGGGGUAACGGCUCACCAAGGCGACGAUCCCUAGCUGGUCUGAGAGGAUGACCAGCCACACUGGAACUGAGACACGGUCCAGACUCCUACGGGAGGCAGCAGUGGGGAAUWUUGCACAAUGGGCGCAAGCCUGAUGCAGCCAUGCCGCGUGUAUGAAGAAGGCCUUCGGGUUGUAAAGUACUUUCAGCGGGGAGGAAGGGAGUAAAGUUAAUACCUUUGCUCAUUGACGUUACCCGCAGAAGAAGCACCGGCUAACUCCGUGCCAGCACCGCGGUAAUACGGAGGGUGCAAGCGUUAAUCGGAAUUACUGGGGCGUAAAGCGCACGCAGGCGGUUUGUUAAGUCA
rnacentral:rRNA from 1 species